rnacentral:rRNA from 1 species
UAGCAUAUCAAUAAGCGGAGGAAAAGAAACUAACAAGGAUUCCCCUAGUAACUGCGAGUGAAGCGGGAAGAGCUCAAAUUUAAAAUCUGGCGGUUCUGCCGUCCGAGUUGUAAUCUGGAGAAGCGUUUUCUGUGCUGGACCGUGCAUAAGUGUCUUGGAAUAGGACGUCAUAGAGGGUGAGAAUCCCGUCUUUGGCACGGACUACCAGUGCUCUGUGAUACGCUCUCAAAGAGUCGAGUUGUUUGGGAAUGCAGCUCAAAAUGGGUGGUAAAUUCCAUCUAAAGCUAAAUAUAGGCGAGAGACCGAUAGCGAACAAGUACCGUGAGGGAAAGAUGAAAAGCACUUUGGAAAGAGAGUUAAACAGUACGUGAAAUUGUUGAAAGGGAAACGCUUGAAGUCAGUCGCGUUGUCCAGGACUCAACCUUGGUUUUCCUUGGUGUAUUUCCUGGUUGACGGGUCAACAUCAAUUUUGAUCGGUGGACAAAGGCGGGGGGAAUGUGGCACCUUCGGGUGUGUUAUAGCCCCUUGUCAUAUACACUGGUUGGGAUUGAGGAUAUCACGCCCUCGGCGGUAGGAUGUUGACAUAAUGGCUUUAAGCGACCCGUCUUGAAACACGGACCAAGGAGUCUAACAUGCCUGCGAGUGUUAGGGUGGUAAACCCUUGCGCGUAAUGAAAGUGAAAGUUGGGACCUCUUUGAGGGCACCGACGCCCGGCCUUGAACUCUUGUGACGGUGCUGCGGUAGAGCAUGUAUGUUGGGACCCGAAAGAUGGUGAACUAUGCCUGAAUAGGGCGAAGCCAGAGGAAACUCUGGUGGAGGCUCGUAGCGAUUCUGACGUGCAAAUCGAUCGUCAAAUUUGGGUAUAGGGGCGAAAGACUAAUCGAACCAUCUAGUAGCUGGUUCCUGCGA